AGCAGCCGCGGUAAUUCCAGCUCCAAUAGCGUAUAUUAAAGUUGUUGCAGUUAAAAAGCUCGUAGUUGAAUUUCGGGGUUAGUAGGUUGGUCAUGCCUCUGGUAUGUACUGGUCUCACUGAUUCCUCCUUCCUGAUGAGCCGUAAUGCCAUUAAUUUGGUGUUGCGGGGAAUUUGGACUGUUACUUUGAAAAAAUUAGAGUGUUUAAAGCAAGCUAACGCUUGAAUACAUUAGCAUGGAAUAAUGAAAUAGGACGUUCGAUCCUAUUUUGUUGGUUUCUAGGAUUGACGUAAUGAUUAAUAGGGAUAGUUGGGGGCAUUAGGUAUUCAAUUGUCAGAGGUGAAAUUCUUGGAAUUUAUUGAAUGAUCUAACUAACUGCGAAGCAUUGCCAAUGGAUGUUUUCAUUAAUCAAGAACGAAAGUUAGGGAUCGAAGGCGAUCAGAUACCGUCGUAGUCUUAACCAUAAACUAUGCCGACUAGGGAUCGGAUGAUAUUAAUUUUUUAAUGACUCAUUCGGCGCC
rnacentral:rRNA from 1 species